UACGUAGGAGACGAGCGUUGUCCGGAGUUACUGGGCGUAAAGGGUGCGCAGGUGGCGGCGCGCGUGGGGGUGAAAUCGCCCGGCUUAACUGGGCGGGGCCUUCCAGACGGCGUGGCUUGAGCAGCGGAGGGGGACGUGGAAUUCCGGGUGGAGCGGUGAAAUGCGUAGAUAUCUGGAGGAACACCGGUGGCGAAGGCGGCAUCCUGGACCGGUAUUGACGCUGAGGCGCGAAAGCCAGGGGAGCAAACGGG
rnacentral:rRNA from 1 species